CCUACGGGAGGCAGCAGUGGGGGAUAUUGCACAAUGGGGGAAACCCUGAUGCAGCGACGCCGCGUGGGUGAAGAAGUAUUUCGGUAUGUAAAGCCCUAUCAGCAGGGAAGAAAGAAGACGGUACCUGACUAAGAAGCCCCGGCUAACUACGUGCCAGCAGCCGCGGUAAUACGUAGGGGGCGAGCGUUAUCCGGAUUCACUGGGUGUAAAGGGAGCGUAGACGGCCGUGCAAGCCAGGAGUGAAAGCCCGGGGCCCAACCCCGGGACUGCUCUUGGAACUGUGCGGCUGGAGUGCGGGAGGGGCAGGCGGAAUUCCUGGUGGAGCGGUGAAAUGCGUAGAUAUCAGGAGGAACACCGGCGGCGAAGGCGGCCUGCUGGACCGCGACUGACGUUGAGGCUCGAAAGCGUGGGGAGCGAACAGGAUUAGAUACCCUUGUAGUC
rnacentral:rRNA from 1 species